GGGUUGUGAGGUUAAGCGACUAAGCGUACACGGUGGAUGCCCUGGCAGUCAGAGGCGAUGAAGGACGUGCUAAUCUGCGAAAAGCGUCGGUAAGGUGAUAUGAACCGUUAUAGCCGGCGAUGUCCGAAUGGGGAAACCCAGUGUGAUUCGUCACACUAUCGUUAACUGAAUACAUAGGUUAACGAGGCGAACCGGGGGAACUGAAACAUCUAAGUACCCCGAGGAAAAGAAAUCAACCGAGAUUCCCCCAGUAGCGGCGAGCGAACGGGGAGCAGCCCAGAGUCUGAAUCAGCUUGUGUGUUAGUGGAACGGUCUGGAAAGUCCGACGGUACAGGGUGAUAGUCCCGUACACCAAAAUGCACAGGCUGUGAACUCGAAGAGUAGGGCGGGACACGUGGUAUCCUGUCUGAAUAUGGGGGGACCAUCCUCCAAGGCUAAAUACUCCUGACUGACCGAUAGUGAACCAGUACCGUGAGGGAAAGGCGAAAAGAACCCCGGCGAGGGGAGUGAAAAAGAACCUGAAACCGUGUACGUACAAGCAGUGGGAGCACCUUCGGGUGUGACUGCGUACCUUUUGUAUAAUGGGUCAGCGACUUAUAUUCUGUAGCAAGGUUAACCGUAUAGGGGAGCCGCAGGGAAACCGAGUCUUAACUGGGCGUUAAGUUGCAGGGUAUAGACCCGAAACCCGGUGAUCUAGCCAUGGGCAGGUUGAAGGUUGGGUAACACUAACUGGAGGACCGAACCGACUAAUGUUGAAAAAUUAGCGGAUGACUUGUGGCUGGGGGUGAAAGGCCAAUCAAACCGGGAGAUAGCUGGUUCUCCCCGAAAGCUAUUUAGGUAGCGCCUCGUGAACUCAUCUUCGGGGGUAGAGCACUGUUUCGGCUAGGGGGUCAUCCCGACUUACCAACCCGAUGCAAACUACGAAUACCGAAGAAUGUUAUCACGGGAGACACACGGCGGGUGCUAACGUCCGUCGUGAAGAGGGAAACAACCCAGACCGCCAGCUAAGGUCCCAAAGUCAUGGUUAAGUGGGAAACGAUGUGGGAAGGCACAGACAGCCAGGAUGUUGGCUUAGAAGCAGCCAUCAUUUAAAGAAAGCGUAAUAGCUCACUGGUCGAGUCGGCCUGCGCGGAAGAUGUAACGGGGCUAAACCAUGCACCGAAGCUGCGGCAGCGACACUAUGUGUUGUUGGGUAGGGGAGCGUUCUGUAAGCCUGCGAAGGUGUGCUGUGAGGCAUGCUGGAGGUAUCAGAAGUGCGAAUGCUGACAUAAGUAACGAUAAAGCGGGUGAAAAGCCCGCUCGCCGGAAGACCAAGGGUUCCUGUCCAACGUUAAUCGGGGCAGGGUGAGUCGACCCCUAAGGCGAGGCCGAAAGGCGUAGUCGAUGGGAAACAGGUUAAUAUUCCUGUACUUGGUGUUACUGCGAAGGGGGGACGGAGAAGGCUAUGUUAGCCGGGCGACGGUUGUCCCGGUUUAAGCAUGUAGGCUGGUUGUCCAGGCAAAUCCGGAUAAUCAAGGCUGAGGUGUGAUGACGAGGCACUACGGUGCUGAAGUAACAAAUGCCCUGCUUCCAGGAAAAGCCUCUAAGCAUCAGGUAACAUCAAAUCGUACCCCAAACCGACACAGGUGGUCAGGUAGAGAAUACCAAGGCGCUUGAGAGAACUCGGGUGAAGGAACUAGGCAAAAUGGUGCCGUAACUUCGGGAGAAGGCACGCUGGUGUGUAGGUGAAGUCCCUGCGGAUGGAGCUGAGACCAGUCGAAGAUACCAGCUGGCUGCAACUGUUUAUUAAAAACACAGCACUGUGCAAACACGAAAGUGGACGUAUACGGUGUGACGCCUGCCCGGUGCCGGAAGGUUAAUUGAUGGGGUUAUCCGUAAGGAGAAGCUCUUGAUCGAAGCCCCGGUAAACGGCGGCCGUAACUAUAACGGUCCUAAGGUAGCGAAAUUCCUUGUCGGGUAAGUUCCGACCUGCACGAAUGGCGUAAUGAUGGCCAGGCUGUCUCCACCCGAGACUCAGUGAAAUUGAACUCGCUGUGAAGAUGCAGUGUACCCGCGGCAAGACGGAAAGACCCCGUGAACCUUUACUAUAGCUUGACACUGAACAUUGAGCCUUGAUGUGUAGGAUAGGUGGGAGGCUUUGAAGCGUGGACGCCAGUCUGCGUGGAGCCAACCUUGAAAUACCACCCUUUAAUGUUUGAUGUUCUAACGUUGGCCCCUGACCGGGGUUGCGGACAGUGUCUGGUGGGUAGUUUGACUGGGGCGGUCUCCUCCCAAAGCGUAACGGAGGAGCACGAAGGUUAGCUAAUCCUGGUCGGACAUCAGGAGGUUAGUGCAAUGGCAUAAGCUAGCUUGACUGCGAGCGUGACGGCGCGAGCAGGUGCGAAAGCAGGUCAUAGUGAUCCGGUGGUUCUGAAUGGAAGGGCCAUCGCUCAACGGAUAAAAGGUACUCCGGGGAUAACAGGCUGAUACCGCCCAAGAGUUCAUAUCGACGGCGGUGUUUGGCACCUCGAUGUCGGCUCAUCACAUCCUGGGGCUGAAGUAGGUCCCAAGGGUAUGGCUGUUCGCCAUUUAAAGUGGUACGCGAGCUGGGUUUAGAACGUCGUGAGACAGUUCGGUCCCUAUCUGCCGUGGGCGCUGGAGAAUUGAGGGGGGCUGCUCCUAGUACGAGAGGACCGGAGUGGACGCAUCACUGGUGUUCGGGUUGUCAUGCCAAUGGCACUGCCCGGUAGCUAAAUGCGGAAGAGAUAAGUGCUGAAAGCAUCUAAGCACGAAACUUGCCCCGAGAUGAGUUCUCCCUGAGACUUUAAGUCUCCUGAAGGAACGUUGAAGACGACGACGUUGAUAGGCCGGGUGUGUAAGCGCAGCGAUGCGUUGAGCUAACCGGUACUAAUGAACCGUGAGGCUUAACCUUACAACGCCGAAG
rnacentral:rRNA from 1 species